rfam:Tulasnella calospora MTT 4182 unplaced genomic scaffold scaffold_85, whole genome shotgun sequence.
UCCCUUAUAGCUCAGUGGUAGAGCGCGUCACUAGUACGGAAAUACUCCGGCCAUGACGAGGUCCAUAGUUCAAGUCUGUGUGAGGGAA